UUAAGAAAAGAGAGAGUUGCAUGGCUAGAUGUAACGGUCGGUAAGGCUUUGGUUAUAGUACCGAAGGCUAUACUAACUUCCUAACAAAGGAAACCCGUAAGUCGUCAUGGCCUCUAUAGAAUGGGCUACAGGCGUAAUACUAUAGGCUAGACAGAUACAUAACCUUGCAAACUAGCCUUAUGAUAAGAUGGAUUAUGCCAUGCAAUGUGGCGUAUGAAACCGGAAUAGCGAGUAAUCGAGGAUCAGCAAUGCCUCGGUGAAGUUGAUCGUGCCUAUAAGCCUUAUAAAGGCACAACUACGAUAUACCAUACUCGUAUGAUACAACCGUACAAUAUACGGGUUUACAAUACUGUAUGCGUCGCCCACUUUGUGGGCUAGCCCUACGGGGUUAACGCAUGCUGUAUAUCAGUAUGUGCGUAGUAUAAAGGUCUAUGGUGCACACACAGCCCGUCACCUCGCCGGAGCGGUGGUACAUGGAAGGAGUAGGUAUGUCCGUUACAUUACUAUACCGAAGUGUGCCCACGUAACGGCGAGAAAGUCGUAACAGGUAGGAGUAGUGGAAGCUGCCCCUGA
rnacentral:rRNA from 1 species